GAUUCUGUUUCAGAUAUUAAUUAAUUGUUGCAAGCCACGUUUGCAGAGCUAUAUGUGUCUCUUUGUAUACGUGACUCCAAUCACAAAGCCAAUUGGUUUAAGGAAAGCUGCCAAAAUCUUAUUGCUCGCGCCCUACCCCUACGCGUGCAAACUGUUUUACAGACGCAUAUGUAUGUCAUUAGUCGGAGAAGCUUCCAAAACUACAACAGGAAGGGCCCUCUUCCGUAUUUGUCCGAAAGCAGUCAAGGAAUCUCUGCGUGACAGAAUGGAGAACAUUUAGUAUCAAAUCCCAAGCCAAUCAUAGCUUAAAACCAGCCAUAUAAUUGCCAAAAAAGAAAUACGUGUUGUAACGUUGGCUUUUAUCCAACAGCCAAUAAUUCCUCAAUUGACAUCCACGUUAUUUUUUGCGUUUCAUUUUGGCCCUUCAGAAACGCACUUGUGGCUAAUUUUACUCUUUGAAUAUUACCUCGGCUUCAACGCAUCAAACUUGUCUGCAUGGUGUAUCUGGAAAUCUGGUUGACCCUUGAACGCUACGCAUCCUUCUCUAAACAGUUUAUAUCUCAGUAUCUCAGCUCAAGUGCUUAUUAUGUUCAAUGUCUUAUAAAGAAGGGUGGUUGGUACACCACGUACAGCGUAACAUGUAACAUCUGCCGAAAAGUUUACAUAAAAGAAGGCACUUUGCAAGACUCUCCGAGAACCGUUUAUUCUAUUAUAGAUAUGUAAAAGUCUGAUACCGUACCUAAAGAUACAAACUCAAUGAUCAACGACUGCCGUAAACUC